rnacentral:rRNA from 1 species
AUGCAAGUUCGAGCGGAACGAUUCCUAGCUUGCUAGGAGGCGUCGAGCGGCGGACGGGUGAGUAACACGUGAGAAUCUGCCCAUUAGAGGGGGAUAACCUGGGGAAACCCAGGCUAAUACCGCAUAAUCCCUACGGGGGAAAGCAGGGGAUCUUCGGACCUUGUGCUGAUGGAUGAGCUCGCGUCGGAUUAGCUUGUUGGUGAGGUAAUGGCUCACCAAGGCGACGAUCCGUAGCUGGUCUUAGAGGAUGAUCAGCCACGCCGGGACUGAGACACGGCCCGGACUCCUACGGGAGGCAGCAGUGGGGAAUCUUGGACAAUGGGGGCAACCCUGAUCCAGCCAUGCCGCGUGUGUGAAGAAGGCCUUCGGGUUGUAAAGCACUUUCAGUAGGGAGGAAGGCUUAUCCUUAAUACGGAUGAGUACUUGACGUUACCUACAGAAGAAGCACCGGCUAAUUUCGUGCCAUCAGCCGCGGUAAUACGAAAGGUGCGAGCGUUAAUCGGAAUUACUGGGCGUAAAGCGCGCGUAGGCGGUUUGCUAAGUCAGAUGUGAAAGCCCCGGGCUCAACCUGGGAACUGC